rnacentral:lncRNA from 8 species
GAGGAUACCUGCACAGCGCGUCUGGUCACCGGUGCGCCUCCUAGGACCAGGCUACCCUACGCCCGCUCUACGCACAGCAACCAUCAGGCCCCUGUACUAGCACCCCGCUCGUACAGGGCUACUAGUUCCAUCCAGCCAGGACGGGUUGUGCAGGAGGUGAGAUCAAGACCGCCUGUGCGCCUCCAUGGCCCGGUGUUUCCUGUUCCUGUCUCUCGUGCGGACCCGGAAGUGCGAAACCCCAGGCUGAUACCUCCAGUACCAGCACCACGCAUCAGGCUUCCAGUGCAUCAGCCCAGUCCGACUCGGCCUGUUCCCGCUCCCCGCACUAGCCCUGAGGUGCGUGUUCCCAGGCUGAUACCUCCAGUACCAGCACCACGCAUCAGGCUUCCAGUGCGUCAACCCAGUCCGACUCGUUCUGUUCCCGCUCCCCGCACUAGCCCUGAGGUGCGUGUCCCCAGACUAGCACAUCCAGUACCACGCAUCAGGCUUCCAGUGCGUCAGCCCAGCCUCGAGAGUUCGGAAAUAGUGUACAUUCCAGAGUAUAAGGCAACAGUGUGCAGUCCGGAGUAUGCGGCAACGGUGUGCAGUCCAGAGUAUCCGGCAACGGUGUGCAGUCCAGAGUAUCCGGCAACGGUGUGCAGUCCAGAGUAUCCGGCAACGGUGUGCAGUCCAGAGUAUCCGGCAACGGUGUGCAGUCCAGAGUAUCCGGCAACGGUGUGCAGUCCAGAGUAUCCGGCAACGGUGUGCAGUCCAGAGUAUCCGGCAACGGUGUGCAGUCCAGAGUAUCCGGCAACGGUGUGCAGUCCAGAGUAUCCGGCAACGGUGUGCAGUCCAGAGUAUCCGGCAACGGUGUCUAGUCCGGAACCGAGGGAGUCUGCCUGCGACCCGGAACCGAAGGGGUCUGCCUGCGACCCGGAACCGAAGGGGUCUGCCUGCGACCCAGAACCAAAGGAGUCUAUCAGCAACCCGGAACUAAGUAAGUCAGUUGACGAUCUGGAACGAAAAAUGAUUAACUAUGUAUUUAAUGAGUCUGCCUACAGUGUGGAAAGGAAGAGGUCUGCCUACGAUCUGGAACAAGGGGAGUCUGCCUACGGCCCGAAACUAAUCAAGUCUGUCUGCAUUCUGGAGGACAGUAGGCCGGAGCCAGAACCACCUCCUGGAUAG